UACGUAGGGUGCGAGCGUUAUCCGGAAUUACUGGGUGUAAAGGGUGCGUAGGCGGCUAUUUAAGUCAGAUGUGAAAACUCAGGGCUCAACCUUGAGGCUGCAUCUGAAACUGAGUAGCUAGAGUGUGGGAGAGGAAAGUGGAAUUCCGAGUGUAGCGGUGAAAUGCGUAGAGAUUCGGAGGAACACCAGUAGCGAAGGCAGCUUGCUGGGACGUAACUGACGCUAAGGCGCGAAAGCGUGGGGAGCGAACAGG
rnacentral:rRNA from 1 species